rnacentral:rRNA from 1 species
GACGAACGCUGGCGGCGUGCUUAACACAUGCAAGUCGAACGGAAAGGCCCUGCUUUUGUGGGGUGCUCGAGUGGCGAACGGGUGAGUAACACGUGAGUAACCUGCCCUUGACUUUGGGAUAACUUCAGGAAACUGGGGCUAAUACCGGAUAGGAGCUCCUGCUGCAUGGUGGGGGUUGGAAAGUUUCGGCGGUUGGGGAUGGACUCGCGGCUUAUCAGCUUGUUGGUGGGGUAGUGGCUUACCAAGGGUUUGACGGGUAGCCGGCCUGAGAGGGUGACCGGCCACAUUGGGACUGAGAGACGGCCCAGACUGCUACGGGAGGCAGCAGUGGGGAAUAUUGCACAAUGGGCGGAAGCCUGAUGCAGCAACGCCGCGUGCGGGAUGACGGCCUUCGGGUUGUAAACCGAUUUCGCCUGUGACGAAGCGUGAGUGACGGUAAUGGGUAAAGAAGCACCGGCUAACUACGUG